rnacentral:lncRNA from 1 species
AAUGGGAGCUGUUUACUUAUGAAUAGCUUUGGCCAGAAACUCCUCCCGAAGGUGACUUGAUGUUUCCCUAACACCAUUUACUUGGAAUCAGAAUUUUUGAACUAAUAAGCUUUAACAAUGUUUGUCCCGGUCUCACCUGAGUGAUGCUGUGUUUUAGAUAAGCAGCUAGUUAGUUCUUGACUCAGUGCUCGGUUCUCUCUCCACCGGACCAACUGUUGUAACUAAGCGUGCUGUACUUUUCUUUAGAAAUAGAGUUCUAUCUGUAUUCAGGAUUAUACUUGAAAAAAUAUGCCAUGUUCUGAUUAAUAACCAUCAAAGUAUUCAGAUUGCUUAAAGGAAUUCAAGUGCAACCUGCAUUCACCCCUUCUAAAACUUAAUUCAUAAAUACCUUUCUAUAAAGCUGUGUGUAGCAAGAAUGCAUUGUAUUUAGUUCUAUGCUGGCAGGAACAGAAUGGAGCACAACAAAGUACACAGCCUUACUUACGAGAGCCUUACAAAGUUACUAAAUGAAGACAUUGAGCUGGCUAUCUAAAUUUACUUUAUGCUCUUUGUUUUAUUGAGAAUCUCUAUUUAAAAAAAAUCAACAAAUGACAGGGCCUAGCUGUGUAAAUGACCUUGCAAAAUAUGUUAAUUUUUUUGUAAAAAAAGGAUUAUUUUCACAUUAAAGUGAAGCCUCUUUCGCAAGUUC